GUGCUCGCUUCGGCAGCACAUACACUAAAACUGGAACGAUGCAGAGGAGAUUAGCAUGGCCCCUGCGCAAGGAUGACAUGCAAAUUCAUGAAGCGUUUCAUACUUUU
rnacentral:snRNA from 1 species